AUUGAACGCUGGCGGCAUGCUUUACACAUGCAAGUCGAACGGUAACAGGCCGCAAGGUGCUGACGAGUGGCGAACGGGUGAGUAAUGCAUCGGAACGUGCCCAGUCGUGGGGGAUAACUACUCGAAAGAGUAGCUAAUACCGCAUACGAUCUACGGAUGAAAGCGGGGGACCGUAAGGCCUCGCGCGAUUGGAGCGGCCGAUGUCAGAUUAGGUAGUUGGUGGGGUAAAGGCUCACCAAGCCAACGAUCUGUAGCUGGUCUGAGAGGACAACCAGCCACACUGGGACUGAGACACGGCCCAGACUCCUACGGGAGGCAGCAGUGGGGAAUUUUGGACAAUGGGCGCAAGCCUGAUCCAGCAAUGCCGCGUGCAGGAAGAAGGCCUUCGGGUUGUAAACUGCUUUUGUACGGAACGAAACGGCUCUGGUUAAUACCCGGGGCUAAUGACGGUACCGUAAGAAUAAGCACCGGCUAACUACGUG
rnacentral:rRNA from 1 species